rnacentral:rRNA from 1 species
GAUGAACGCUAGCUACAGGCUUAACACAUGCAAGUCGAGGGACCGGCGCACGGGUGAGUAACACGUAUCCCACCUGCCCUUUACUCGGGGAUAGCCUUUCGAAAGAAAGAUUAAUACCCGAUAUAAAGGAUGGGGAUGCGUUCCAUUAGGUUGUUGGUGAGGUACCGGCUCACCAAGCCUUCGAUGGAUAGGGGUUCGGAGAGGAAGGUCCACCACAUUGGAGCGGAGGCACGGUCCAAACUGCGACGGGAGGCAGGAGUUAGGAAUAUUGGGCAAUGGGCGCUAGCCUGAACCAGCCAAGUAGCUGGAAGGAUGAAGGCUUUUGGGUCGUAAACUUCUUUUAUAUAAGAAUAUGUAUUAUAUGAAUAAGGAUCGGCUAACUCCGUGCCAGCCGCCGCGGUAAUAC